AAGGAAUCCCCCUUAUUUCCUCUGGCGCUGGUACCAUAUGACCUUUACGUUUAGGUCUCAGAGCCGUUUGGACUGUGACCUCGUCUGUGGCGUGAGGCGUGGAUCUGGUAUUCUUCUCCAAAUGGCCACUUGUUUGUCUCAGCACCAUUUGUCAAAGAGUUUACCUUUUAAAAGAAAUUGCCCAACUCCCAGGGUGGCUGUACGAGUUCACCUUGCCACCAGCCAUGUGCGUACGAGUGGUCCAGUUUCUCUGCAUCAUUGUCAGCAUUUGGUGUCGUCAAAUUUUUAAUUUUAGCCAUUUUGGUAGGUGUGCAGUGAUAAGCUAUCGAGUUUUUAAUUUACAUUUUCCUAAUUACUAAUUAUAUUGGACAUCUUUUCAUGUGCUUAUUUGCCACCUGUAUAUCUUUUUUGGUGAAAUGUCUAUUUAUGUCUUUUGUCCAUUUUAUAAUCGGACUAUUAUUAUCAUUUUUUUACUGUUUAGUUUUGAGAGUUCUUUAUAUAUUCUAGAUACAAGUGCUUAGUCAAAUAUGUGGUUUGCCAAUGUUUUUUCUUCCAAUCUGUAAUUUGUCUUAUCCUCUUAACAGGAUCUUUUAUAGAGAAAAUGUUUAACUUUUGAUGAGGUCCAAUUUAUUAAUUUUGAAGGCAGUUUCUUUUAAAACUAAGAUUGCACUCCAUCUGUGACCCAGCAGUUGCAGUCUGGCAUUUAUCUCAGAGAAAUGAAAACUUAAGGUCACACGAAAACCUGCACACGAAUGCGCCUAGCAGCACAGGUAGCAUCUCUAGAUUGGGAGCAGCCCAAACGUCCUUGAAACCAGCGUGGUUCAUCUGCAUUGUGGAGCAAACUGUGAUGCACAUGAUAAUCGGGAAUUUGCAGAGUCAAAGAAGCCAGUCUCGAAGGUCGCCUACUGUACGAGCCCGCUGAUGAAACGUUGUUGGAAUAAUGCAGUUGGAGAUUGAGACCAGACUGGUGGUUGUCAGAGAGUCUCCAUUGACGUCUUCCAUCAGCACCGGCCUCAUUCUUCCUCCAGCUGCAUCCCUCCUCCCUUUCCGCUGAAGGUCUUGCAGGAGCCCUCCACAGAUUCACGCUGAGCUAACAUCUGCUGCCAAUCUUCCUCUUUUUUUCAUUAUGUGAGCCACCACUACAACAUAG
rnacentral:lncRNA from 1 species